GAUCAUGGCUCAGGACGAACGCUGGCGGCACGCUUAACACAUGCAAGUCGAACGAGAGAAGAGAAGCUUGCUUUUCUGAUCUAGUGGCGGACGGGUGAGUAACACGUGAGCAAUCUGCCUUUCAGAGGGGGAUACCGAUUGGAAACGAUCGUUAAUACCGCAUAAUAUAAUUGAACCGCAUGAUUUGAUUAUCAAGGAUUUUAAUCGCUUGAAAGAUGAGCCUCGCGUCG
rnacentral:rRNA from 1 species